UACGGGGGGGGGCAAGCGUUGUUCGGAAUUACUAGGCGUAAAGGGCGCGUAGGCGGUGCUCUAAGUCGGAUGUGAAAACUCUGGGCUCAACCCAGAGCCUGCAUCCGAAACUGGAGUGCUAGAGUUCUGGAGGGGGUAGCGGAAUUCCGUGGUAGCGGUGAAAUGCGUAGAUAUCAGGAGGAACACCGGUGGCGAAGGCGGCUACCUGGACAGAAACUGACGCUGAGGCGCGAAAGCUAGGGGAGCAAACAGG
rnacentral:rRNA from 1 species